GGUCAUAAUCAUAUCAAAAACUGUUCAUCAAUGCACUACAGGCCACUGAGAAUUUUUACCACAUCAUCCGUCACAUUACGGUCAUGACUAUAACGAAUAAUCCCUGAUCAUAAUCACACCAAGUCCAUCUAUGCACGUAAGCCAAAGAUGACUUUUAUCACAAUAUAAACAUGAGAAUGAUGACAAUGAUAUAAGCAUUAAUCAAACGAAAAUAAGGAUAAAUAUUAAAGACUUUAAAUUUAUCCAAAUAUUAUCAAUCACUUAAUAAACUCAUAAUCUAAUAUUAUUA
rnacentral:lncRNA from 1 species